GCAGACAGUGCACAGGAUGAUACACUUUAUACAUGCACACACACAGAAAUAUGUAUAUGUGAACGCAUAAACAUAUGUAUAUAUACAUAAACACAUAUACAUACAUGCACAUGGACUCAUAUACACAAAUAUAAACGCACAGUAAUAUAUAUAAGCAUUCAUGCAUACGAGUAUGGGAAAGCAUAGGUCUACACAUAGUACUUUGUAUAUAGAUAGAAUAAACAUAUAGG